rnacentral:rRNA from 1 species
UACGUAGGGGGCUAGCGUUGUCCGGAAUCAUUGGGCGUAAAGCGCGUGUAGGCGGUUCGGUAAGUCUGCUGUGAAAGUCGGGGGCUCAACCCUCGGAUGCCGGUGGAUACUGCCGGGCUAGAGUACGGAAGAGGCGAGUGGAAUUCCUGGUGUAGCGGUGAAAUGCGCAGAUAUCAGGAGGAACACCGGUGGCGAAGGCGGGUCUCUGGGCCGAUGACUGACGCUGAGACGCGAAAGCGUGGGGAGCAAACAGG